rnacentral:sRNA from 1 species
GGGGGAGAUAAGGGCAUGAUGAAUUGCACACUGGCCUGGCAUGGUUGUGGCACUAAAACAAAACAUGAGAUGCUUUGCCACCACAUCAUCUUCUUCUUUACCACCACAACAGCCACUGCAUGUCAUGUUGACAUGUUGUGCAACUUACUUCUUGAUUGCAGGAGUCACCAGUGGAUGGACGAAGCAAGCACAGAAAGAGUCCCACAAGUCAAGAAGCUGAUGAGUCUUUUGAAAUG